rnacentral:rRNA from 1 species
UUGACCUCAAAUCAGGUAGGACUACCCGCUGAACUUAAGCAUAUCAAUAAGCGGAGGAAAAGAAACUAACAAGGAUUCCCCUAGUAACUGCGAGUGAAGCGGGAAGAGCUCAAAUUUGAAAUCUGGCGGUCCUUGACUGUCCGAGUUGUAAUCUAGAGAAGUGCUACCUGUGCUGGACCGUGUACAAGUCUCCUGGAAUGGAGCAUCGCAGAGGGUGAGAAUCCCGUCUUUGACACGGACUGCCCGUACAUCAUGGUGCGCUCUCGAAGAGUCGAGUUGUUUGGGAAUGCAGCUCAAAAUGGGUGGUAAAUGCCAUCUAAAGCUAAAUAUUGGCGAGAGACCGAUAGCGAACAAGUACCGUGAGGGAAAGAUGAAAAGAACUUUGGAAAGAGAGUUAAACAGUACGUGAAAUUGCUGAAAGGGAAACGCUUGAAGUCAGUCGCGUUGGCAAGGAAUCAGCCUUGCUUCUGCUUGGUGUACUUUCUUGUUGAUGGGUCAGCAUCAAUUUCGAUCAUCGGAUAAAGUCGUCAGGAAUGUGGCAUCUUCGGAUGUGUUAUAGCCUGGCGUCGCAUACGGUGGUUGGGAUUGAGGAACUCAGCACGCCGCGAGGCCGGGUCUCUCGAGACCACGUCCGUGCUUAGGAUGCUGGCAUAAUGGCUUUAAUCGACCCGUC